rnacentral:tRNA from 3 species
CAAAGUGUAGCUUAAGCCCAAAGCAUCCGGCUUACACCCGGAAGAUUUCAACUAAAUGACCACUUUGA